AUUGAACGCUGGCGGAAUGCUUUACACAUGCAAGUCGAACGGCAGCACGGACUUCGGUCUGGUGGCGAGUGGCGAACGGGUGAGUAAUACAUCGGAACGUGCCCAGUCGUGGGGGAUAACGUAGCGAAAGCUACGCUAAUACCGCAUACGAUCUAAGGAUGAAAGCGGGGGAUCGCAAGACCUCGCGCGAUUGGAGCGGCCGAUGGCAGAUUAGGUAGUUGGUAGGGUAAAGGCCUACCAAGCCGACGAUCUGUAUCUGGUCUGAGAGGAUGAUCAGCCACACUGGGCCUGAGACACGGCCCAGACUCCUACGGGAGGAAGCAGUGGGGAAUUUUGGACAAUGGGCGCAAGCCUGAUCCAGCCAUUCCGCGUGCAGGAUGAAGGCCUUCGGGUUGUAAACUGCUUUUGUACAGAACGAAAAGGCUCUGGUUAAUACCCGGGGCUCAUGACGGUACUGUAAGAAUAAGCACCGGCUAACUACGUGCCAGCCGCCGCGGUAA
rnacentral:rRNA from 1 species